rnacentral:rRNA from 1 species
UACGAAGGGGGCUAGCGUUGUUCGGAUUUACUGGGCGUAAAGCGCAUGUAGGCGGGUCGUUAAGUUGGGGGUGAAAGCCCGAGGCUCAACCUCGGAAUUGCCUUCAAAACUGGCGACCUGGAGCAUGAUAGAGGCGAGUGGAAUUCCGAGUGUAGAGGUGAAAUUCGUAGAUAUUCGGAGGAACACCAGUGGCGAAGGCGACUCGCUGGAUCAUUGCUGACGCUGAGAUGCGAAAGCGUGGGGAGCAAACAGG